GCAGCCUAGCUGCAAGGGACGCAGAAAGUUUGAGUUCUGACUUGUAUACUAGAGAGGUGGGAUCAAUAACGCAAAUAAAGAAAGGCUGUUUAAAUGAUUAUGGCAGUCCUGAAUAUGACAGGAGUCAUAUAACUGAUGUUAGUUACCGUUGAGUCAGCCCCCGUCUCAUGGCAACCCCAAGAGUUACAGACUAGAAAUGCUCCAUAUGGUUUUCUCGGCUGUAGUCUUUAUGUAAGCGUAUCACCAGGCCUUUCUUCCACAGGGCCACUGGGUGACUUAGGUUAGUAGUCAAGUGCAAGCUGUUUGUGCCACUCAGGUACUUUUCAUUACUGAUAUGCAUGCUAAAUACUUCAGAUUAUUCACCAAAAUAAGAAAAAUAGAAUGUGUAAUUUCCAAACUAUACAGAAUUAAAAAAAUGACAGAAUUUUUAGUGAAUUGAUAAGCAGAUAAGAAAGAAGAAAAAUAGAGGCAAAUUAAAAGCAUGGUAAACAGAAAAACCCAAAUAAGAUUGUAGAAAAAAGUCCAAGUAUAUUAAUCACUAUAAAUAAAAACGAAACAGACAUUAAUAUCAGGCAUAAGAAUUUAAGAAAGAUUGGUAGGAUAAAGGAGUGGUAUGUAGUAGGUAUAGAAAGAAAAAGUCACCAAGAAAACAUACAGUCUUCAACUUGUAUUCACUUAACAACCUAAAGCAUGAUAUGGGACAUAAAAUCAAAAGACGCACCUGACCUAAAGUAAAAUGGCUGAACUAAUGCUAAGGCUCAGUAUAACCUUUCACAUAGAUUCAAACCCUGUUGCUUAGGAACCAACCCUGUCAUUAAUGAAAUUCUUUUCUUUGUGGUCAGGCUAAGGAUGUGGACACUACGUGUCCUGGGGUCUGUAACCAAACCUUAUCGAAACGCUUUGUGUUAGAUCUCUUCAGAAAAUCUUAUAUUCUGAGUGAGGUAAUGUUUAACAACCUAUUCCUGACAGUACCUGUCAUGCCAUCGUCAUGUCGUUAUUUUUUGACGGUCCUGAGACCCCCCCCCGCAAACACAUACCUUGCAAUUUUGUUCUUUAGCCAAUGUAUUCCAGUUGUAUUAAUGUAACCAGCAGUGUUAAAAAUCAUGCUUUGCUUUGUCUCACCUUUGAUUGACCUCAGUCACUGUAAACCAAUCAGAAUAUUGUGUUUUCUAUCUCCUCCUAUGACACUAUACCUAGAUGUGAUUUGUACCCCCUCCCUUGGAUCUGUGAGCUUCAAACUCUGAGGUUUUCACGAUCUCCAUUCGAAUGACAUACUGCCUUCAAUACAUGUCUUUUUUUUUUUACUUUAACAGAAUUGGAGAGUCUUUUCUCUACAAUAUUUGGCAGAGUCUUGGUGGGAUUCGGUGACGUCUUCCCCAGUGGACCAGGAGGAGCUGAAAAACCAGAGUUAGGCACUGACAAGCUCCUGCUGUCUCGGACCCCUUGGGACCUGUCCAGACGAAGGAGCUGUGAUGUAUGGCCUGCCCAUGGAGAGACUUAUGUGACAAAGACCUGAGGGAGGGUCCUGAUCAACAGACAGAGAGGGAGUGAGGCCCUCCAGACCAACAGCUCACAGAGUCCUGCUCAUAACAUGGAAGUGAGUAGGGAGCAGAUCCUCCCCAGUCAAGACUCAGUUGAGACCACAACCACAGGGUCCUGAGAACUUGGGGCAGUCACCAGAUUGUGACCUCCUGGGGACAGGGACGUCGUGGAUCCUUUUCAGAACCAGCCCCUGGAUCACCUGCUGAUGUUGAUCCUGCCCCUGUGCUAACGCUGGAGCUCCAUAGUGCACCAACUAUUCCGUCACCAAUAUCAGAUGGACAGACAGCUGGAGGGAGUGAAAACAAUAACAAGAGGAAAACAUUGGAAUUCUUCACUUUUAACUGGAUCUGACAAAUUACCAGAGGAUACAAGGCUUUUCCAGGAAACACCAAAGCAGACAGUGUGGUGCUCUACAGACUCCAGCCUCCCAUGGAAGCCAGAUUCCUGCACUUCUUCAUUGUAGUCUGGAACGCUAAGGUCUGGAUCGAGAUGCUGAUCGAAGUGUAGGGUUGUGCAUAUCGUAAGUGCUGUUUCUUCCUCUGGAAGCCCUGGUUGCAUAGUGGUGAGGAGCUUCGACUGCUAA